GACGAACGCUGGCGGCGUGCUUAACACAUGCAAGUCGAACGGAAAGGCCCUGCUUUUGUGGGGUGCUCGAGUGGCGAACGGGUGAGUAACACGUGAGUAACCUGCCCUUGACUUUGGGAUAACUUCAGGAAACUGGGGCUAAUACCGGAUAGGAGCUCCUGCUGCAUGGUGGGGGUUGGAAAGUUUCGGCGGUUGGGAUGGACUCGCGGCUUAUCAGCUUGUUGGUGGGGUAGUGGCUUACCAAGGCUUUGACGGGUAGCCGGCCUGAGAGGGUGACCGGCCACAUUGGGACUGAGAUACGGCCCAGACUCCUACGGGAGGCAGCAGUGGGGAAUAUUGCACAAUGGGCGGAAGCCUGAUGCAGCAACGCCGCGUGCGGGAUGACGGCCUUCGGGUUGUAAACCGCUUUCGCCUGUGACGAAGCGUGAGUGACGGUAAUGGGUAAAGAAGCACCGGCUAACUACGUG
rnacentral:rRNA from 1 species